rnacentral:rRNA from 1 species
GAUGAACGCUGGCGGCGUGCCUAAUACAUGCAAGUCGAGCGAACAGACGAGGAGCUUGCUCCUCUGACGUUAGCGGCGGACGGGUGAGUAACACGUGGAUAACCUACCUAUAAGACUGGGAUAACUUCGGGAAACCGGAGCUAAUACCGGAUAAUAUAUUGAACCGCAUGGUUCAAUAGUGAAAGACGGUUUUGCUGUCACUUAUAGAUGGAUCCGCGCCGCAUUAGCUAGUUGGUAAGGUAACGGCUUACCAAGGCAACGAUGCGUAGCCGACCUGAGAGGGUGAUCGGCCACCCUGGAACUGAGACACGGUCCAGACUCCUACGGGAGGCAGCAGUAGGGAAUCUUCCGCAAUGGGCGAAAGCUUGACGGAGCAACGCCGCGUGAGUGAUGAAGGUCUUCGGAUCGUAAAACUCUGUUAUUAGGGAAGAACAGAUGUGUAAGUAACUAUGCACGUCUUGACGGUACCUAAUCAGAAAGCCACGGCUAACUACGUG